rnacentral:rRNA from 1 species
GACGAACGCUGGCGGCGUGCUUAACACAUGCAAGUCGAACGGUAAGGCCCCAGCUUGCUGGGGUACACGAGUGGCGAACGGGUGAGUAACACGUGGGUGACCUGCCCCGCACUUCGGGAUAAGCCUGGGAAACUGGGUCUAAUACCGGAUAGGACCGCACCGUGAGGGUGUGGUGGAAAGUUUUUCGGUGUGGGAUGGGCCCGUGGCCUAUCAGCUUGUUGGUGGGGUAAUGGCCUACCAAGGCGGCGACGGGUAGCCGGCCUGAGAGGGUGGACGGCCACAUUGGGACUGAGACACGGCCCAGACUCCUACGGGAGGCAGCAGUGGGGAAUAUUGCACAAUGGGCGGAAGCCUGAUGCAGCGACGCCGCGUGGGGGAUGACGGCCUUCGGGUUGUAAACUCCUUUCACCAUCGACGAAGGUUUUCUGACGGUAGAUGGAGAAGAAGCACCGGCUAACUACGUG